UUGGAGAAAACCGAAGAAGCUUUUUCAGAACAGCCACCCGGAUGGGUUGGGUGGGACGAACCAUCAUCCGAUAUGCAAGUGAGUGGCACUGGUCUGAACCCAUUCCUCGAUGAUGAUGAUGAGGACAGCAAAAACGUGAUGAACCUCGACACACCAAUGCUCGAGGCAAAAACCGAACCUGUGAUUCCAAACGGGUCGUCGUCCCCUACGGAAAGAUCACUGUUCGAGAAGGAUGUGGAGUUUGUGGGGGUGGAAGCAGAAGGGACAGAGAAAGCGAUGGAGCAAGCGAUGAAAGAAGGGAUUGUAGGAGAAGCUGGAGCCAUGAAGAUAAACAUGGAGACUGGUGAAGACAGCCAAAAGGCGGAGGAAAGUAGUUCAGGAGGAGAGAAGGAGUUCAACGAUAACAACUACUGGAAAGUGGAUCAAGAUGUCGGAGUUUUGGAGUAAUGUCAGUUUAUCUGUACAGUGUGAUUUUGUAUGAGAGUGUUUACGUAAGAAAACUUAAGUUGAAGAGUCUGAAAAAACAUGUUUCCUGUUGUUGGCCUGUUCUUUCGAAGUUUGAAUCGUGUCUUCUGAAAGAACAACAUAAGAUAGAGAUAAAAUUUGUAAAAGUUAGACCUAACUUCAAACUAAACCCCUCUAAAACAGUCACUAAACCCUACGUUUGUAUACCAUCUCUUCCUGCAGUGAGUUCCCAAACUCAAAACUGAUUCAGCCUUCUUGUCUCUAUGCUCUUGAUAUCAUUCCGUGAAUCAUUUUGGUGUGGAACUGAUCACCUUCAUUCCUCCUCAUCUCCAUGAUCUUCCUGUGUGAGUUUGAAUGCACAGAUGGGACGAAGGUCGGGCUCGAGGCUGGUCUGUACUCUGGAACUAGACGGCCUGAUCUGAACCUCACGCCGCAAGCGUUGCAGAGAGUCUUUGGUCCAUUGGGUCCUUCCCUCCACUGCGGAGUCUCGGUUGUCUCACAGUGAUUGCAUUUUCUUGUCACUUGGGAUGAAAUCUUGCGUCCCUUCUUGGCAUGUUGUUCAAAAGCAUAGUAAGUCCUGAAUCCUGAUUCGCCAGGAGUUAACUUCUCAGGCUUACUGGCUUCAAACGAGUGAAGGUAUUUGAAUCUCACUGGUGUGGGUGUGGGGCGUUUGCGCUUGCUUCUCAUGCCUUUCACAGGGGAAGUCAUUCUCUGAGAUCUUGAGUCCUGUGGUGAGAAAGAAGCAUAGUUGCUCUCAAAAACUGACACUGGGCUUAAAGACUGAAACAGCUUUGAGACUUUGAUAUCAUGAGGUGAUGAAGCCUGGUGGAGAGUGCUGCUGUUUAUGCCAGACAAGGCUCCACAAGCACCGGACUGUUUCUGCACCCAUGAAAGAAUAUUAGACUUUAACCUCCUCAGUCUUAUGAUCUAUCUACUGCGGUAAAAUAUUACCCAAAAGAAAUCUAUGGCGGUAAAAAAAACUGCCAAGGUUUGAACCCCAAAGUCAUUGUCAUUAUAUUCUUUGGUUAGGACCACAUUGCUCUCGACAGAGAUGAUGAUGUAAGUCUUCCAAAAUUCCUCUUCCCCCCUUUUCUUUAAACAAACGUAUCUGCAUCUUUUAUCACACCCUGAUAGAUAUACAUCAAUAACAUUAUUUUGAAAAUUUGGAAUUGGUUCAUGCUACAUAGGAUGUUUACUUCGAUGAUGAAUCUGCUGAAGUAAUAAUUUCAUCCUUAAGACUCGGCGAUGACCAAGGAAGGUAAGUUAUUUGCAUUUUGCUGAUAGACUCAUGAACAUCUGUCCAAAUAAUGACUCGAGUCUUUCUCGUUACUUUUCCGCAGCUUGUUUACAAACUCAGAUUGGUUCACAUUCCAAGACGACAGAUUCAGCAGCACGCCUCCCGACCCAGCAGGUUCCAAUACAAUAGAGGACGCGGAGUUGAACAGAACCGUCAAUGCCAACACCAGCAGCAGUGACGACGACGAGGUUGUGGUUGGAGUAGAAGACGAUGAUCUCACCAGGAAUCCAAAAGAUAGCGCGUUGAACACAGGUGAAACCAACUUCCAAACGGAGAGUCCAAUGGGGUUCUUCGACUUCAACACGUUGGAGAAAACCGAAGAAGCUUUUUCAGAACAGCCACCCGGAUGGGUUGGGUGGGACGAACCAUCAUCCGAUAUGCAAGUGAGUGGCACUGGUCUGAACCCAUUCCUCGAUGAUGAUGAUGAGGACAGCAAAAACGUGAUGAACCUCGACACACCAAUGCUCGAGGCAAAAACCGAACCUGUGAUUCCAAACGGGUCGUCGUCCCCUACGGAAAGAUCACUGUUCGAGAAGGAUGUGGAGUUUGUGGGGGUGGAAGCAGAAGGGACAGAGAAAGCGAUGGAGCAAGCGAUGAAAGAAGGGAUUGUAGGAGAAGCUGGAGCCAUGAAGAUAAACAUGGAGACUGGUGAAGACAGCCAAAAGGCGGAGGAAAGUAGUUCAGGAGGAGAGAAGGAG
rnacentral:lncRNA from 1 species